GCUGAGUGCAGAGGGGAUUUCCAAGGCAGAGCUAGCUGAUGGUCUUAUUCUGGUGAUGUAAUUUUCAGGCGGGGAGAGGGAUGGGCAUGUCCGAGCUCCGGGCGAGGCAACUGGCCUUACACUCACAUUCCCAUUCAAUGUGAUUUCAGAUUUGUACGUGAAUUAAGUGUGGUGUCUAAAAAUGAAGCAAUGGGGCUGUUGGGAAAAAAUAUUCCCAGUAAAUAGGUAUCCUGUGCUCCAGCCACAUGGUCCCCAGUGAGCAGGGAGCUCCAGUGCUGAGUCCUCCAGGACAGAGAGGGGCACCACAGGCUGUGCCCCAUGAGCAGGAGGAGAGACUGACAGGAGUUGGAGGACCCCCCUGGUUUACCCACCCAGCACCUGCUGCUGCUUCUGAGUCCUGACAGCUCUGUCCAUGGAUCAAGGACCGUGGAUCAUGCUGACAAGCUCAUCAAUUACCUGCUACUCACCAACAAUACCAAGGUCUUGCUUUCUUGGUGGGGUAGUUGAUGACUGCUGAGGAUGUCUGUGAACUUGAAAUUGUGUUUAUCUGCCAGAGACCUUGAACCUGAGAACUUCCUUCCAUGCACAGUGGUACAGAUGGCGAGCUUGGUAGCUGCCUAGAAGCUAAAAGAGACAGCGUCAACAGUGAAACACCAGAAGUGACAGACAGUGUCUAUCUGAGCAGAGACCAGUGACUGCAUUUGGAGGAGCCAUAAUUUUCAGAUGAUGACUUUUAGGAUCCUUUAAGGAGGAUAAUUGAUUACCUGACAAAGAACCCGUAGCAUUUCCUCCACACAAUGGAAGAGAGAAAAACAGCAACGAUCAGCUCUUUUGAGCCGAAAAGGAGCAUUUUUCAGAGAAAACACCAAAAAGUUUAUAACAAUGGGAGCCCGAGGAAACACAAAUACAUCUUGCCUUCUUGACAAAUAAGAUUUAAUUAAGACAAUCCUCCUGCUGGAAAGGCAGCGCUUGCCUGUGCCGUGCAGGGAAAAGCGACAGGCUCAGGAGUGAGAAUCUCCUUGAAAUGCCGUCCUGUGUGGUCUCUUAAUUAUUCAUGAGCAUCCUUGUCACUGAAUUUCAUGGUUUCACCUAUUUUUAAUUGAUCUUUUUACUCUAAAUGCUACUUGUAUUACUUCAUGACAUAGGUAAUGCGUCCACAAUAGGCACAGAUGAAACAGAGAGGCUUGUGCUCACCCCUGAGGAAUUCCAACAACGUGGUUAGCACUUUGCAGGCGGGCUGGGAACUCUGCCGUGGGAAGCGGGGGUCUGAGAGCAAGGUCAGGGACACCAUCUUGUUCUUGGGACUGAAUCAGAGACAGAGCAGCCAGGAGCCCCAGGACCCUGCCCCCAGAUGCUUACCAUGGGCAGGCAGCUAUGUGCAGGGAGAUGCCUCAGUGAGCCCCAGGUUCCUCAUGAAAACCUACAGCUUCAAUAAAAUCUACACUUCCCAGUCUGGGCCGCUUCCCACUGUAUGCUCCCAAAGCCAGUUACUUUCAUUAUGACCCCAUGGUGGAUCCUAGCACAGCCCCCCUGUCUCAGGAGGCUCCUGGGGCUUCUCCUGGCUGCCCUGCCUCUGGUUCUGUCACCAGUACAAAACAGUGUCGCUGACCUGGCUCUCAGACCCCCCGCUUCCCAUGGCAGAGUUCCUGGCAAAGCAUUUCCUGAAAAUCAGUCUUCUCAGAUUUUCUCCUGAGAUGUGGCCAAGGCCCUAAAACAGGGGUCGGCCAUCGCACCCAGAUUCCUACCAAUGAGACGGGCCACGGUGGGAAUGAGGAAGAAAGGAUCAGCCCUAGCCAAGGAGGCCCUCCCAUGGGCACGUCCAAAAGAAAGAUCAGACCCCUUCACACCACAGAGGCUACCCUUGGCCCUCAGGAUGGCGUCCAACCCCCCACAGGUCCCUGCCUCUCCAAUCCCACUUCCCACCACUAACCACUAUGUCCACUCAGUCAUGGCCACACUGACCUCUCUGCUGGCCUUGGACAGACCAAGCUUCCCAGAACCUCAGGGCCUUGGCAUGUGCUGGCCCCUCCUCCUGGAGUAUUCCGCCACCCCCACCCUGAUCCUAACCCAGUUACCUCCAGGAGCCUCAUCACCUGUCAGGUCUCAGAUGAAUGUCACUUCCUUGGGGGGUUCUCCUGUGUCCCCAUCACCUCCUCACCCAGGCCCAGGGCCCAGGUCAGGUCCCCCAAAGCCCCUCUGGUCACACUGUGGUGCCCUUUCUUCCCAGCCAGGACCAUGUUUAAUGAAACAAGGCCAUUGUUAUCUGAGGAUGACCCAUACAACUAAAAAGCCCAUUUGAGGCAAAUCCAACUAAAUUAAGUACCAAAGUUUCACAACAAAUGCUUUGUGAUUUAGUUAACAAACAUUAUUUACCUUGGACUCACUUUAGGCCAGAUGCUGUUCUCAGUACUCCACGUAAUGAAAUCAUUUACCCUCCGAAACUUAGGCACCACUGCAUCACCAUCCCUGCUUUGCAGAUGAGGACACAAAGGCACAGAAAGGUUGCUCCUGUAGAAAUCAACAUCAUCAGAAUUGGAUCAAGUCACCUGCACCAGGGCCCCUGC